CAAAAUGCUGCGCAAAAUACAAACCCUCUGGAUUACUGGAAGCUAGCAGAAGAAGAUUUCUUACCCUUAAAGGAGUGCGGGCAGAAAUAACUAUGUAUUCCAGCGUCAUCAGUAUAAUCGGAACGAAUGUUCAGUAAAGCAGCUUUAAUAGUAAACGAAAAAAGGUCGCAACUAAAGCCUAAAAAUGUUGACGUGCUUUGUUUCUUAAAUAAAAAAAUUGGCUUUAAAAA